rnacentral:lncRNA from 1 species
CCUCCUUCUGUUGUGAGGCAUCUGGGGAAAUUGCCUCACAGCCCAUGGGUCUGUGCAAGGGUGUAAUCCUGGAUGCCGAUGACAUAGAGCAGCUGUUUGCAUGCAGCCUCACACCUGUAGCAGAAGACUUAGGGAAGAACACGAUGGGAAGAACACAGAACACAGAGUAUCAAGGCCAGCUGGUCAGGAGGAUAAUCACACCUACGUCAUAGCACUGGUGUUCUGGGAAGAUGAGAUCAUGCAGGUAAAGCCUUUGACACUGAUUGUUGCAUGGCCAGCACUCACUAAAUGGUGGCAAUUAUUGUUCAUAGAGUCAUUUGUGCAUUUGUCUCAUAUCCCUGCUAACUCUGUAUCCUUCAGGACACAAACUGCCCUAUUCAUCACCGUCUCCUUGGAGAUGUCUCAAACAGGGCCUGGAUAGCCAAGCUUUGCUCUUUGGCGUCUUCUUGGCUGGAGCCCUUCCCUUCCAGGUCUGCACUUCUGCACUACAACACUAGAGGACAGCAAGAGACUACAGACCCUUUGGAAGACUGGCAGGCUAUCUUGGAUGCUCUUCCUCUAGACUAACCUGUACCUGUGGAUCCCGCCCACUAUGUUGGUGCAAGCAUAAUGUGGAAGCGCGAGGGACUUAACAGCCCCUGGACAACUGCUGAGGAUUAGAAGACAUGAGGCCAUGGAGAGAUGACGUCCUUUCAGUGUCAGAGAAAACAGGUUCUAAUGGUGGGAUUCUGAAGACAGCUUGCUCACUGACCAGAAGAAAACAAGAACCCCUUCACUGGUGGACUGAAGGUCUGAAUUGACCUACAAGAUCUGCUUCCCAGAGCAAGAAAAUAUUCUCCAGCAGACAGCCAUGGAAUUCAUCUGAACAUCAGCUCUCCUGGCUCUCCAUCUGCUUUCCUUCAGACUGGAACUGCACCAUCGGUUUCCCUAGGUCUCAAGCCUGCUGGCCCACACUGUAGAUUUGGACUUUAAAGUCUCCACAAGCACUUGAACCAAUUCAGUAUAAUUCUCUUUUUGUAUAAGUGAUUCUGUUUCUCUGGAGAAUCCAACUAAUAGAAGGAUAGUAGAGUCCCACAAACUUAACCAAGAGGUAAC